GGAAUAUUGGACAAUGGGCGGGAGCCUGAUCCAGCCAUCCCGCGUGCAGGACGAAGGCCCUCCGGGUCGUAAACUGCUUUUGCAGGGGGAGAAACGCCCGGGCUUGCCCCGGGCCUGACGGUCCCCUGCGAAGAAGCACCGGCUAACUCCGUGCCAGCAGCCGCGGUAAUACGGGGGGUGCGAGCGUUAUCCGGAAUCACUGGGUUUAAAGUGUGCGUAGGCGGCCCGUUAAGUCAGGGGUGAAAUCCCACCGCCCAACGGUGGAACUGCCCUUGAUACUGGCGGGCUCGGAUGGGCGCGAGGCGGGCGGAACGCGGCAUGUAGCGGUGAAAUGCUUAGAUAUGCCGCAGAACACCGAUUGCGUAGGCAGCUUGCCAGAGCCCUUAUCGACGCUGAGGCACGAAAGCGUGGGGAGCGAAC
rnacentral:rRNA from 1 species